rnacentral:rRNA from 1 species
CGCGUAGGCGGCCGGCCAAGUCAAGUGUGAAAUCCCUCGGCUCAACCGAGGAACUGCACUCGAUACUGGCUGGCUCGAGUCCGGGAGGGGAUGGUGGAAUUCCCAGUGUAGCGGUGAAAUGCGUAGAUAUUGGGAAGAACACCGGUGGCGAAGGCGACCAUCUGGACCGGAACUGACGCUGAGGCGCGAAAGCCAGGGGAGCGAAUG